AACGAACGCUGGCGGCAGGCCUAACACAUGCAAGUCGAACGCACCGCAAGGUGAGUGGCGCACGGGUGAGUAACACGUGGGAAUGUAUCCUUUGGUUCGGAAUAACGUCUGGAAACGGACGCUAAUACCGGAUGAGCCCUUAGGGGGAAAGAUUUAUCGCCGAAGGAGCAGCCCGCGUCUGAUUAGGUAGUUGGUGGGGUAAAGGCCUACCAAGCCGACGAUCAGUAGCUGGUCUGAGAGGAUGGUCAGCCACACUGGGACUGAGUCACGGCCCAGACUCCUACGGGAGGCAGCAGUGGGGAAUAUUGGACAAUGGGCGCAAGCCUGAUCCAGCCAUGCCGCGUGAGUGAUGAAGGCCUUCGGGUUGUAAAGCUCUUUCGCACACGACGAUGAUGACGGUAGUGUGAGAAGAAGCCCCGGCUAACUUCGUGCCAGCCGCCGCCGUAAAAC
rnacentral:rRNA from 1 species